CACAAAAGGAAGGUUGGGAUUGAUUUUGGGAGUUGAGAUCCCAACAGUUUAGGAAUUAGGGGCCAAAAAGGGGCCCAAAUAAGCAUUUUUCUUGGUUUUUGCACCAUAACUUUAGUAUAAGUAAAUAGAAAUCUAUGAAAUUUAAACACAAGGUUUAUGACCAUAAAAGGAAGGUUGGGAUUGAUUUUGGGAGUUUUGGUCCCAACAGUUUAGGAAUAAGGGGCCCA
rnacentral:lncRNA from 1 species